rnacentral:misc_RNA from 1 species
CUUCGACUUCAUCCAAUCCUUAUUGGACUCUGACAUGUCGUCGGUCGACGACCAGUUCUGCGCCCCGGCUUGCUACUACCGCGCCAUCUUCUCCGACGCGGACAUUGUUAGCCACUGCAGGCAUCACGGCGGCGAGGCACUCGUGGCGGGGCCGGACCUGGGCAACGACGACGGCUACAGCGGCGACAGGGCGGAAGAAGACGGAGCAGGGUCGUCGCCGGCGGACUCCGGCAUCGCAGAUGGGCCCCUGGCACCGGCGGCGGGCGACGCCGCCGCCGCCGAGGCCAUGGCGGCGUACGUGGCCGAGCUGGAGCGCUUCCUCCUGGACGACGACGACGCGCAGGCGGAACUGGAUCCGGGCCUUCUCGACGUCGUCGACGUCUACUUCGCCGGUGGUGCUGCUAGCUAUAGGUUGAUUGACGGGGACAAGGAGAAUGGCGACGAGCAGCGGCAGACUGGAGGUUUUAGGGACCGGGACUAAUUUAAAAUUGAGACCAAUCAAACUAAUGUUAUAUAAAAAUAUUACUAAUAUAUAAACUCAAGAC